CUACGGCCAUAUCACGAUGAAACACCGGUUCUCGUAAAAUCAUCGAAGUUAAGCAACGUCGAGCCCGGUCAGUACCUAGAUGGGCAACCUCUU